AUGUCAUCGUUCACCGGUGUAUCCAUCAUCGAAGGCCACGAGGGGUGCUACUGCAAGACAUCGGCCGUCGAAGCCGGCACGGACAGCGGCUACCAUCUCCUUAUGGUCAAUGGCUACUCGCGUACAAAAGAAAAGAACCCCACCGGCAGGAGCAUCAGCUCUGAUGCUUUUGUGGUAGGAGGACAUCCUUGGUUACUAGAGUACUACCCUAAUGGCAAGAACCCGAACUGCGCCAACUUCAUCUCUCUCUAUGUCCAAGGUGAUGGCAAAGUGAAUGCUAGGAUCAGCUUUUGUCUCGUUGACCAGGUUGAGAAGCAUAUGCCAAUGUACAUUCGUGCAACUAAUAAAGCUUCCAGGUUCAUUAACGGUGAUGGUGAUGUUUUCUGGGGCAUCAAUAAGUUUCUCAGAAGAGAUGCCCUUGAACGAUCGGCGAAUCUGAAGGGUGAUUCUUUCACCAUCCGGUGUGACAUAAUGGUUUGCAAGGAUCCCAAUACCGAGGAUCCCGGUGGCCACGGCACCAAGGUGCUCGUGUCUGACAUGGACCAACAUUUUAACAUUCUCCUUCAGACCAAGGUGGGUGCUGAUGUGACUUUUGAGGUUAGUGGCGAGACAUUAACAGCACAUCGUUGUGUGCUUGCAGCCCGGUCCAAAGUCUUCAUGGCACAACUCUUUGGUCCCAUGAAGGAGGGCACUACUACGUCUAGCGUCAUACAUAUCAAAGAUAUGGGAGCAAACGUGUUCAGAGCGUUGCUUAGAUUCAUCUACACGGACUCAUGCCCUGAAAUAGAGAAGGACUUCACGGAGGAGGAAGAAAUGUCUCAAGUUCUAGAAGAAGGACAAGAAGAUGAAACCAUAGAGGAUGAGAUGUGGCUGCAAUGGCUUCAAGACUUGUUUGUGGCGGCGGACAUGUACGAUCUCCAACGACUCAAGUGCAUAUGUGAAAUGCAAUUGUCUGAUCACAUAGGUGUGAGCUCGGUGAUGUCCACUCUUGCUCUAGCCGAGCAACACCACUGCCAGGGAUUGAAGGAGGCAUGUUUGAACUUUAUCCAAGUCCAGUCUUCCUCGUGCUUGCAAACAGUAACGGCCACUGAUGGUUGGGAUCAUGUAGUUUCGACCUAUCCCUUAGUUUCGAAGGAGCUCGUCGUCAAGCUUGGUUCAAACCAACACAAGUAA
rnacentral:rRNA from 1 species